rnacentral:rRNA from 1 species
AACGCUAGCGGCAGGCCUAAUACAUGCAAGUCGAACGGUAACAUUGGUGCUUGCACCAGAUGACGAGUGGCGCACGGGUGCGUAACGCGUAUGCAACCUACCUUUUACUAGAGUAUAGCCCAGAGAAAUUUGGAUUAAUCCUCUAUAAUAUCUUUUAAUCUCCUGAUUUUAAGAUUAAAGUUUUAACGGUAAAAGAUGGGCAUGCGUCCUAUUAGUUUGUAGGUGAGGUAACGGCUCACCUAGACCACGAUAGGUAGGGGCCCUGAGAGGGGGAUCCCCCACACUGGUACUGAGACACGGACCAGACUCCUACGGGAGGCAGCAGUAAGGAAUAUUGGACAAUGGACGAAAGUCUGAUCCAGCCAUGCCGCGUGCAGGAUGACAGCCCUACGGGUUGUAAACUGCUUUUAUACAGGAAGAAACACUCCGACGUGUCGGAGCUUGACGGUACUGUAAGAAUAAGGAUCGGCUAA